rnacentral:lncRNA from 1 species
GAUACAAAACAUCACACCUCUUUAACAGACAGGAUAACAUCACAACCCUCUUUAACAGACAGGAUACACAACACCUCACAACCUCUUUAACAGACAGGAUACACAACACAUCACAACCUCUUUAACAGACAGGAUACACAACACAUCACAACCUCUUUAACAGACAGGAUAGACAACCUCUUUAACAGACAGGAUACACAACACAACCUCUUUAACAGGCAGGAUACACAUCACAACCUCUUUAACAGACAGGAUACACACACAACCUCUUUAACAGACAGUACAUAACCUCUUUACAGAAGGAUACACAAACACAACCUCU